rnacentral:rRNA from 1 species
CAGCAGCCGCGGGAAUACGGAGGGGGCUAGCGUUGUUCGGAAUUACUGGGCGUAAAGCGCACGUAGGCGGCUUGGUAAGUUAGAGGUGAAAGCCUGGAGCUCAACUCCAGAAUUGCCUUUAAGACUGCCGAGCUAGCAGGUGAGAGAGGUAAGUGGAAUUCCGAGUGUAGAGGUAAAAUUCGUAGAUAUUCGGAAGAACACCAGUGGCGAAGGCGGCUUACUGGCUCAUACUGGACGCUGAGGUGCGAAAGCGUGGGGAGCAAACAGGAUUAGAUACCCGUGUAGUCCCUGUCUCUUAUAC